UCUUAGGGGUUGCCAGGCCCACCAGGUGAAAAGGGCGAAAACGGAGACGUUGGCCCUAUGGGUCCACCAGGUCCUCCUGGCCCACGAGGCCCUCAAGGUCCCAAUGGAGCUGAUGGACCACAAGGACCCCCAGGCUCUAUUGGUUCAGUUGGUGGUGUGGGAGAAAAGGGUGAACCAGGAGAAGCAGGGAACCCAGGACCCCCUGGAGAAGCCGGAUCAGGUGGUCCCAAAGGAGAGAGAGGAGAGAAAGGAGAAGCUGGGCCCCCUGGUGCUGCGGGUCCUCCUGGUAUUAAGGGGCCACCAGGUGAUGAUGGACCCAAGGGGAAUCCGGGACCUGUUGGGUUUCCUGGAGAUCCUGGUCCACCUGGAGAACCUGGUCCUGCAGGGCAAGAUGGUGUUGGAGGUGACAAGGGUGAAGAUGGAGAUCCAGGACAACCAG
rnacentral:lncRNA from 1 species